UUGCCCAUCGGGGCCUUGGAUACCUGCUUUAUUUAUU
ensembl:misc_RNA